rnacentral:rRNA from 1 species
UACGUAGGGUGCAAGCGUUAUCCGGAAUUAUUGGGCGUAAAGAGCUCGUAGGCGGUUUGUCGCGUCUGCUGUGAAAACCCGAGGCUCAACCUCGGGCCUGCAGUGGGUACGGGCAGACUAGAGUGCGGUAGGGGAGAGUGGAAUUCCUGGUGUAGCGGUGAAAUGCGCAGAUAUCAGGAAGAACACCCGUAGCUAAGGCGGCUCUCUAGUACGGUACUGACGCUGAGACGCGAAAGCGUGGGGAGCGAACAGG